rnacentral:tRNA from 1 species
AAGGGUAUAGCCCAGGGGUAGAGUGUGUGCCUUGCAUGUGCAAGGUCCUGGGUUCAAUCCCCAGUAUCUCCA